rnacentral:rRNA from 1 species
GAUGAACGCUGGCGGCAGGCCUAAUACAUGCAAGUCGAACGCACCUUCGGGUGGGUGGCGGACGGGUGAGUAACGCGUGGGAAUCUACCCAAUUCUUCGGAGCAACUGAGGGAAACUUCAGCUAAUACCGGAUGUGCCCUUCGGGGGAAAGAUUUAUCGGAAUUGGAUGAGCCCGCGUUGGAUUAGCUAGUUGGUGGGUA